rnacentral:misc_RNA from 1 species
AAUAUAUAAGCUCCCCUCCACUUAGUGCAAUAACUACUUGAAGUCUAUUAGAUCCGACCUUGACAAUAGUUCUCUUUCCAGGAGUUCUCCAUUCAUUAAUACGGCCAUCUUCUCUAAUAUGCCUUAUUCCACUGGGAUGAACUUGCAUAAGCGAAUCAUCACCAAUCAAUGAAACAGAAAGAGAUGGAGUAGUAUCAAGAAACCCACUGUCGCUAACUUCUUCAACUGUCUCACCAAUAGAAAGCACAAGAGUUGCAUUCGCAAAAGAGACAACAAUGUAGGCAUCAAACUCAU